CUGAGGACAGAGCACAGCCUUGGGGACACUCUGGGGACAAAGCGGACAAGUCACACCCCACCAUCAUCACCCAGGUCCAUCUGCAGCAACCAAAUAGGUUCUCUCAUCCCGCUGCUCUCCUCCCAGUCUGUCCAGCUCCGAGUGGUCAGACACCCAGCACAGUGUCAUGGUCGGAUGUAAUGGGGCUAUUAGACUGGUUUGGGUUGGAAGGGACCUUGAAGAUCAUCUAGAUCCAACCCCCUGCAUGGGCAGGGACACCUCCCACCAGCCCAGGUUGCUCCAAGCCCCAUCCAACCUGCCCUUCAACACUGCCAGGGAUGGGGCAGCCACAGCUUCCCUGGGCAACCUGGGCCA